CCAAAAAGCUUGGCUGGAGCUGAUCUGCCUGCCCAGAGCAAGAGGGAGGUGGGGAAUCCUGGCAGGUUCCUUCUGCUCCCUUAGAAAAGGACUUCACUUACUGUCCUAUCCCCUUUCUCUAUUUACACACAGUCCUCAGAAAGAGAGCUGGAUUGAACCACUGAGGGUGAUGGUAGCAGCACCUGGAGAUCCUCGGUACCAACACAAGCACAGCGCUUCUGCCCGCUAUCAUGAAAAGAACCGGAUACUCUGCAAACGGCCUUGGCGCGUCAUGGGAUUCAUCCAAGAGUGUUGCAAACCACAUGGCCCUUCUCUCUCCAGCCUUAUCUUUGAAAUGUCUCAAGAGACAUCUUAUUUUUAUGACUGCUCAAGGACUGUAAGCCCGAGGAGCUGCUUUUGGGAAUGCAUAUGAUCCCUGUCACAUCAAAUGACUGCAUCGUAAUGUCAGCGCUGUCUGUGCAACACAAAGUAGCUGCUGAGUCCCAGCUUUCCAUCUGCAGUUCCCCAAAAUCCAGGAUUUUGGGUCUGAAAUUCCUGUUGCAGUAUUUUCAAUAAUUUGAGACUGUUUAUUAAAAGGUCUAAUGUGUGAUAUUUUACUUCCAUGUGUUCUGUGGUCAGGAAAACAUAAAGAGUUUGCUCUUGAGAAAUUUUUAUCUGCAUUUGUGGUUAAUGUGCAUGAUUGCCUGAGGGAACAGCAUGGUACUGUGCCAAUGAUUCUUGUUCCAAAGCACAGUAAAACUUUACAAUUUUAAAUCAUUGGCAAAAUACCUUUUUAGGUUAUUUCAGAAAUACCAGCUAUCAGUUUCAAUAAAGUUGCAGCAUUUUGUUUUGAUCUUUAAAUUUAUUGCUAGCAUGAGAAUAGUAAUCUGCAAUAUACCUGCAGGUCAAAAUGAAGAAAUUAACCUUGUUGGAAUGAAACUUUAAAUGUUUUAUGCUCUGUUUUAACAUGCUACAAAAUAGGGAUUUGAGAUUUUUAAGGCAUCAUUUUCUGAUGGACAAAUUCCAUCGGAAGAUAUGUGACUAAUAUUAAUUAUCAGGACAAAUCUGGGAAUUUGAGCAUGUUCAUAAUAAGAAAAUAAGGAAAAGUUGCUGCACAUAUGAGUGUAAGUUUGAGGGCUUGUGACAGCAGUUCUGUGUUUCAGAAGAUAAAAUCAGAGGGUGUUUCUCCAGGCUGGUUUUGUAAAGCUGACAUCUGAUUCAACCUCCUUGACCCCUCAAUGGACUUGCAUCUGGUGGAGCACAUCACUAAGCAUCAGAGGAGGAAAUAAAUACUAUUAGUAAAGACAUAUUCCUCUUUGGUGAUGUUCACUGUCAGGCUUUUGAAUUUGUCCUGGCUCUCCUUGACAAAGAAUUAGCUGACAAAAAUGAUACUGCAAUGUCAAGAGAUAACUGGUUGAUCUCAUCCUCCAAACUGCUUCACCUAUUUCUCGCUGUGAGCUUGGUUACUCAUUUCAGACACCCAUUUAUUUCUGUUUCACAGACCUAUAUUUUGCUGCCAUAUGUCCCUGGAAACCUUGACGUCAGAGAUGACUACUCUUGUACCUGAGUCCAAAUGUUAGAGGUUCAUCAAAUGUGUCUCUAAUGGUUCCAUUUUUUCAUGCUUCUACCCAGGGUUUUGGUCCCAAGCUGGAAGAAAUAUAAUCUAGGAAAGAGAGCAGCCUGGGAGGACGACUGGGUGACUUCACAGGAAUACUUAUUUUCUGGAAUAUGAAAACACAUUGGUAGUGUAGGAGAAGCAGUAGGCUGGAUGACUGGGGUUUUUAGUAUUAAUGACUAAGCGUGUGCCACACCAAAGGUCAUUUAUUUCAUGUACCCCACAACUGUGCAAGCCUAAGUCUGCCUGGUGGUGACUAGUGGUGACACUUCUUGUUUGUCUCCAUCAUCUGAGCUUGUGACUGUGGUGGGAAGGCCUGGGCUCUAUGAUUUUAUUGCUGCUGAUGUAAUUAUUGCAUAGCUAAUAGUCAUGGCUCCCCAGGGCCCGAGGAAAUGGCAGUAGGUGGGAGAAGUGGCUUCUGGAGCAGUCAGCCCUGUAACCCCUCUGCCUUUCUCACCCACAGGCAGCAGGGCUGGGGUGAGCACAUUCCUGGUGAAGGAGCAGGAGGAUGCUGUGUCUGGGUUCAUAAAGAGGCUCAUAGAUUUAAAGCAAGACAAAAGGUGA